rnacentral:lncRNA from 1 species
GAUUAAAGAAAGUACACCUGCAACGUGCAUUUUCACAAACCCUGCAUACUGUGCUUUAACUGAAUUCUCGCUCGUCAAUUUUCUUCUGGCUGCUAAAUUCAGCACUCUCUCCUUUUGGGGGAUCUGCUGUCUUGGUUUCAUUACGAGGUUCAGCUUGAGCAGGCCCUUCUGGAGGAUCUGCUAUCCUGGUUUCCUUACGAGGUUCAGCUUGAGCAGGCCCUUCUGGAGGAUCUGCUAUCCUGGUUUCAUUACGAGGUUCAGCUUGAGCAGGCCCUUCUGGAGUAUCUGCUAUCUUGGUUUCAUUAUGAGGUUCAACUUGAGCAGGCAAUAUAUUGGCCCCGGUGUUACUGGAACUUUCAGGCAGGUGCUCUCUGGAUUUUAUACCAGCUUCCAACUCGUUGUAUCGGAGAAUGACUUGUUGGAGCUCAUCAUGGAGAUUCAGGGCCUCAAAAAGCAUU